rnacentral:rRNA from 1 species
GGGAUGGGCGGCAGCCUACACAUGCAGUCGAACGGUAGCACAGAGAGCUUGCUCUCGGGUGACGAGUGGCGGACGGGUGAGUAAUGUCUGGGAAACUGCCUGAUGGAGGGGGAUAACUACUGGAAACGGUAGCUAAUACCGCAUAAUGUCGCAAGACCAAAGAGGGGGACCUUCGGGCCUCUUGCCAUCAGAUGUGCCCAGAUGGGAUUAGCUAGUAGGUGGGGUAACGGCUCACCUAGGCGACGAUCCCUAGCUGGUCUGAGAGGAUGACCAGCCACACUGGAACUGAGACACGGUCCAGACUCCUACGGGAGGCAGCAGUGGGGAAUAUUGCACAAUGGGCGCAAGCCUGAUGCAGCCAUGCCGCGUGUAUGAAGAAGGCCUUCGGGUUGUAAAGUA